AUGGAGGUAAAACCACUGCCAGGUCACCCCCAGCCCAACUCCAGCCGUCACGUUGGCCAGGGGGAGGAGGGCCAUGAUCCAAAUGAACCAGAGCAGUUGAGAAAACUGUUUAUUGGUGGUCUGAGCCGUGAAACUACAGAUGAUAGUUUAAGAGAACAUUUUGAGAAAUGGGGCACAUGGACAGAUUGUGUGGUAAUGGGAGACCCCCAAACCAAAUGUUCCAGGGGCUUUGAUUUUGUGACUUAUUCUUGUGUUGAAGAGGUGGAUGCAGUAAUGUGUGCUCAACCACACAAGGUUGAUGGGCAUUUAGUGGAACCAAAGAGAGCUGUUUCUACAGAGGAUUCUGUAAAGUCUGGUGCUCUAACAGUGAAGAAAAUUUUUGUUGGUGGUAUUAAAGAAGAUAUAGAAGAAUAUAAUUUGAGAGCCUACUUUGAAAAGUAUGGCAAAAUUGAAACCACAGAAGUUAUGGAAGAUAGGCAGAGUGGAAAAAAGAGAAGAUUUGCUUUUGUAACUUUUAAUGAUCAUGAUACAGCUGAUAAAAUUGUUGUUCAGAAAUACCACACUAAUAAUGGGCAUAACUGAGAAGUGAAAAAGGCCCUUUCUAAACAAGAGAUACAGUCUGCUGGGUCACAGAGAGGUCAUGGAGGUGGAUCUGUCAAUUUGACGGGUUGUGGAGGAAACUUUGGAGAUGCUGGAGAUAAUUUUGGCUGUGGUGGAAACUUUGGUGGAAGAGGAGGCUAGGGGGGUGGAGAAGGUGGCAGCAGAGGUAGUUAUGGAGGAGGUGAUGGUAGAUAUAAUGGACUUGGUGGUGAAGAUGGCAACUACCGUGGUGGUCCUGGUUAUAGUAGUAGAGGGGGCUAGGGUGGUGGUGGACCAGGAUAUGGAAACCAAGGUGGUGGAUAUGGUGGCGGUGGUGGAGGAUAUGAUGGUCACAAUGAAGGAGGAAAUUUUGGUGGUGGGAACUAUAGUGGUGGUGGGAACUAUACUGAUUUUGGAAAUUAUAGUGGACAACAACGAUCAAAUUAUGGACCCAUAAAAGAGGGCAGUUUUGGUGGAGGAAGCUCGGGCAGUCCCUAUGGUGGUGGUUAUGGAUCUGGUGUUGGAAGUGGUGGAUAUGGUAGCAGAAGGUUCUAAAAACAGCAGAAAAGGGCUAC